rnacentral:rRNA from 1 species
UACGUAGGUGGCAAGCGUUGUCCGGAAUUAUUGGGCGUAAAGCGUACGCAGGCGGUUUCUUAAGUCUGAUGUGAAAGCCCACGGCUCAACCGUGGAGGGUCAUUGGAAACUGGGGAACUUGAGUACAGAAGAGGAGAGUGGAAUUCCACGUGUAGCGGUGAGAUGCGUAGAGAUGUGGAGGAACACCAGUGGCGAAGGCGACUCUCUGGUCUGUAACUGACGCUGAGGUACGAAAGCGUGGGGAGCGAACAGG